CUGUAUAUAUCGAACCAUUGUAUCACUGUCACUAGUUGGCUACAGUACCUAACUCAUGGCAGAGACACAGUGUUGUGUGGUGAGCGAUAGAGGCGCCCUCAACUGGUCCUGCCCCUGGUGACGAGCUCAAUCUCUUCACCAGGGGCAGGACGCAUUCCUCCAGCACCCGGACUGACCUACACAGACGACACAGGCGAGGACCAUCUAGAAGGGGCUGUGCUGCUGCUGGGAUUCGAGACAACUUGAGAUUAAGGACAAAGGUCAAUGUUUCUGCACUAUGGCUGCAAGGCGUUGAAGUUAGGAAAUGUUACGACCAAAGACUUUCCUACAGGACUUGCACCUAUCACAUCAUGAAUGAGGUGUUAAAUUUCUACAACUAUAUCGGUAAUCUCUUGGGCUGCGGAAAUAACACAAGUCCUGUUUAACACAAGUGCUUCAGGACCUACACCUUUUGUGCAUAAUACAAGUGCUUUGAGAUCGAUUACUUCUCUAUUUCUACAAGUACAGGACCGACUCCUGUCUUGGUCUACACAAUCACUACAGAAUCUAUACAAUUGCCACAGCAUCUACAUCUUUCCUUGUCUACAACUUCAGAAUCUGUGCCCAUCUUGACCUACAACUUCAAAAUUUGUGCCCAUCUUGACCUACAACUUCAGGAUCUGUGCCCAUCUUGACCUACAACUUCAGGAUCUAUGCCCAUCUUGACCUACAACUUCAGGAUCUAUGCCCAUCUUGACCUACAACUUCAGGAUCUAUGCCCAUCUUGACCUACAACUUCAGUAGCCACGCCUGUCCUUUUCUUCAACUAAAUAACAUACAAUUGCCUUGAUAUGCCGGCAGCUGUCAUCAGCCUUUGUGUGUGAUCUAGGAGGUCCUGACGAACUGGAACACGCGAAAGGCCCCGUACAGUAUUGUGUUAUGUUUAGAGUGAAUGUACGAAUUUAUUACUCCACAUGUUCCACUUGCCAUGUUUACUACACAUUAUAUCACUCGGAAUAUAAAUUAUUUGCGAUUCAUAAAUAUUAUUCAUGAUUGAAAAAAGGAACGUUUAUCCCAUAUGAAUUAAUAAGUAUUUUCUUGAUUCCAUCUGUAUCUCAAAUUUGCUUAUGAGAAAUUUAUUCCAAUGUCUCCAACUUAGAGAUUAAGACUUUAAUUUUUGUUCUUACGUCUGAGAUCCUAAUCAUAAGCAGCCGUCGCCAUAUACAAUGUAUUUAACAAAAUAUCCAGAGAUCGACCUACACCUCACACACCGGUACUGUUAGUGAAGCGUCGGUAACUGCUCUUAUAGUCAACCUUUUAAUGGUCAGUAACCAGAGUUAAGUAGUUAGCAGAUCUAGAAAAAAUCGUAAAUGGUGACAGCAUAUUGGAGUGUUUGAGGCUCCCGCAGCUCUGAAACUUACGAGGAGCAUGCUGGGAUGCCCACCUACACAUACAUAAAUUACAACUUAAUUUUUCAGUAGCCCUUGGUAGUAAUUAGGAAAUAAAACAGACCUUAACUAUGAAGUGUAAGUUACCUGGAAAAUAAAUAGGAAAUUGUCUAUAAUACCUAAAUUGACAUUCAUUUCUCAAAUUUUGAAACGAAAAGCAACACUUUCUUAAUUUCACGGAACCUUAUGAACUAUACAUAUGUAACUGCAAAAACAUCAAGGGAAACGACAUCCGGGCAGUGAAACGGUGAACCCUGGCUGAGUCAUAUAGCAGAGUUCUUCAAUAAGUCAUCAGUUGCUAGUAAGUUAUCCACAGGGGCCACUUUAUAUAGUUGACCGUCUCCAUCGUAAAUUUAUCGCCAGCCUGUGCUCCGUUUUUACUUUAAACCGAAGUGAGUGUGAGUACACGAGUGAGACGAAGGCUUUAUCUACCAUUAUAGUGUCAUCAUUAAUAAAUAAAAGAAAAUAAUUGGAAAUAAAGCAAUCGAUAGCAUAUCUAUUGUUACUGUUGCAAUAAAAACAUAAAAACAAGAGGAGAAAAUAAAUAAGAUAUUAAAUUGA